UGUGGGCGCACUAGCGGCAGGGGGCUUGGCGGGUUACGCGUUGGGCGGUGGGUUCAGUAGCGACAGCCCCACAACUGAGGUGCAUACAUCGUCAUUUGCUGAUGCCGACAGCUUCGGAGGAGACGACUGGAUGGAAUAACGCCUUAAUAAAGAUAAAUUUAUAUAUAUCAACUUAAUUAGAGUAUAUGAAAAAUAACUUAAAAGAAAUAAUGUGAAAUAUAUAUCAAUAUUGUUUAUCGGUGUAAAUGUAUUUUAAAAAUUUGUUGCUAAACAUAUUGUGAUCAUUUAAAUGUCUAAUAUACAACAUGUUAG